GACGAGAAACAAAGAUCCAGGGAAACAGAGACACAGAGAGAGAGAAAAGCCGAGUUAGCCAGGCCUGAAAGUCAUUCAGAGUGUAAACAUCCAUGACACUGUUGAAGGCAAAGCAACAGCAAAAAGAGAUCUGCUCACACUCCAGUGUAAAAGAAGACCCAAAUGUUUCAGAUGCAGUGAAUGGGCAUGCUUUCACUCAGUUUAAACUCCACAGCCAGGAUAACAUCUGGAUCUAAUCUGGGAUGCUUUUGGUACUAAUUACAGCACCGAAAAUGAUAUGUGGCCUAGACAGCAUAAGAUGGGCCCAAUAUGGUAAGUGCAGUGUGUGCCCAAAAGUCACAAGCUAGGCUUGAAACAUGUUACAGCAAGUAUUAUCUGGGCCAGCUUUCACCCAAAUGUCACAACACAGCUGGCAAAUGGUCUAUGAGUCAAGGCCACCAGUCUUACCCUGAGUCAGAGCUGUCAGUCAAGAGCAGAUUUGGCCAACAGAGACUAUGUAUUGUUCUCUGGGAGAGUUUUGGAUACACAUACUUUGUAUACACAGACAAGCACCCCAGAAUAUUAAGCCUGGUCUGCUCAGAGUGUGCACAGUUGUGUAUAUUCACUUUAAAAAAGCUUAACUUUAAAGCUUCAAAGUGCUUUUUUUUCCAGAUUCCCUCAAGGCCCUAAACAUUCAACUAAAGGCUCCUGGAUUCGGAUGCAGUCAGUCUCUAUGCUGUUAACAUAAACACAGACAGGGAGAGGUGUGGACUGUAGGUAUCAGCUAGCUAACGCCCUAAUGCCAGGGUCUUAAAGCCAAUCUAAGCACAUUUUAGCCAUUUAAAGCCCUGGAAAUGUAUGUGUAUGUGCGUGUCAUUUUACACCUAUGUGGGUAAUAACUAUGUCCGGUCAGCACUUGUGUACAGUUGAUUCACUCUAUGAUUUCACUCUGCGUUUUGCUUCACUAACCCAUUAUUACUCUUAAACCCCGAGACAUGUUCCAUGUCAUCAAGUCGAGCUGUAGUCUAUGACUUCAGCCUCCUCUUUAGAAUAAAGUGCCCCAUACCAAAUUGCUGCUUUGAAAAUACAGAUUAUGAAAUGCUGACGUCUAUAUAUUAUAUUUUUGGUAAGGUUUGCAAUCUGGCAUGUAUACUGAUUAAAAAAUAUUGGACAUUUAGCUUUUAUUUAAAAGAAACAGUAACAAAAAGAUGAAAAAUAGAGAAAGAAAGGAAUAGAAGUCGUAUUGGACUGAGGAGCCGCUCAGGACAUUUAUACAAAUGCGAUAUGACCCUUUACCGCUUGACCACAGCACAGCUCUGCUGACGUGCACUUUGAAAGUGUUUAAUCAGCUUUUCCUUAUGUAAAAGAGGCACAAGCAUUAAAAGUUUGGAACGCAUUUUAACCAAGAUAAAUUGCAGCAUCACACCAUGUGGGAGAGUUGUAAAAUAUUACCGAAAAAAGUAGCAUCUCUUGUGUAACACACGUUUCCUUCUGGUUGCUGAUUUUUAUCCAAAUGAAUGCCUCUCUGUGAUUUAGAUCUCAGUUUAAUCACAGCUUAAAGUCUGCUUUCUCUGGUUUGCUGCACUGAAACAGUCACAGUUCAACUCAAGCUCUACAGCGUCUGAUAACCAGAGGAGCGCAGGGAGACUGCAUAAACAACAGGCUCAGUGCAAAACAGACCUUAAAUAUUUAUGAUCCUCUUUAAGAAGGACAAAUAGGAGGGAAGAAGGUUAAAAACAGCACUGCAGACAAUCAAACCUGUAUAUCAAUGAAGCUUUGUGUAUUUAAGGCACAACAGCACACUCUAAAACUCAGUAUGGACAUGUGGACACAAUAAUUUAUUUCUUCUGGGGGAACCACGCACACAUCUUCCACAGGGCAACGGUCAUUUCGGGAAAAGGCGUAUACACACAAACGCAGACACACACAGACAAGACGAAUAUGGAAACUUAACACUGCCGUGGCACAACUAACUUUUGAACUGUAUGCAAUAAAUAAAGCUACGUUUACUGCAAAACAUGAACAUAUCCGGAGUAAAAGCCUCAAGCAUACACACAAUAACACACAGCUGAAACCUUUUGUAUAUCCCGGUGUCGUCUUCAUUGACCUUUACCUACUUACUGCAUCCCUGACAACAGGAACCCUUACUCGUCCACGCUUCUGUGCAUAUUACCUGUUAAAACUUCUGUCCAGUAAAACUUGGGAAAUGAACUAAAGCCUUCAAACUAAAGUCUACAUAAUCUUUUGAAAUAUGACACAGAGAUCCAAACGCUGUGGCCUAAAGGAGUUGUUAAAGCUGAGAGAAUACAGCACCAAACAGUUGUUUUUUUCCAGAUGAUUUAUUCACAUAUAAUGAAUCACUCUCUUUUACCUCCUUGUAAUUCCUCCCUCUGUGGCACUUUUGUCUGCAACAUCUAACCACUGCCUUGGUAUGCACACCUACGAGCACGACGUGCACUGAAUGCAGAUGCAGAGAUCACUGCUCUGUUUCUCAAGGAAUGAAAUCCCAGGAGAAAGAAAAAACCUUGCAACUUGUAUUAAACAUGAAGUGCAGUGCAGUUCCUGGGACUCUCACAGCUAAAGCUGCUGUAAAGCAGCGCUUCUUAACCGCUCGACUGGAUCCCAAAGAUGUUUCUGCUCCCUGGGUGGAUCUUACAGCCGGGGGCCCCUCCACGGCAUGCUGUCCCAGGGGUGUCACCUCCUCCUCUUCCCGUACCCCAUUGGGACAGGAAUCCUCCAUUGCUGUGACCAUCGCCAAGCUCUGC